rnacentral:rRNA from 1 species
GACGAACGCUGACGGCGUGCUUAACACAUGCAAGUCGAACGAGAAUCUGUGGAAAGAGGAUUCGUCCAAUUGAAGCAGAGGACAGUGGCGGACGGGUGAGUAACGCGUGAGGAACCUGCCUUUCAGAGGGGGACAACAGUUGGAAACGACUGCUAAUACCGCAUGACACAUAGGUGUCGCAUGGCACUUAUGUCAAAGAUUUAUCGCUGAAAGAUGGCCUCGCGUCUGAUUAGCUAGUUGGUGAGGUAACGGCCCACAAAGGCGACGAUCAGUAGCCGGACUGAGAGGUUGCACGGCCAGAUUGGGACUGAGAUACGGCCCAGACGCCUACGGGAGUCAGCAGGGGAGAAUAUUGGUCAAUGGGCGCAAGCCUGACCCAGCAACGCCGCGUGAAGGAAGAAGGCUUUCGGGUUGUAAACUUCUUUUGUCAGGGACGAAUAGAAGACGGUACCUGACGAAUAAGCCACGGCUAACUACGUGCCAGCCGCCGCGGUAA